rnacentral:tRNA from 2 species
GCGUCCGUAGCUCAAUUGGAUAGAGCAUUUGAUUUCGACUCAAAAGGUUAUAGGUUCAAAUCCUUUCGGACGCACCA